AUUGAACGCUGGCGGCAGGCCUAACACAUGCAAGUCGAACGAGUGGCGGACGGGUGAGUAAUGUCUGUGAAACUGCCUGAUGGAGGGGGAUAACAACUGGAAACGGUAGCUAAAACCUCUUACCUUCAGAUGGGCCCAGAUGGGAUUAGCUUGUUGGUGGGGUAACGGCUCACCAAGGCGACGAGCCCUAGCUGGUCUCAGAGGAUGACCAGCCAAACUGGAACUGAGACACGGUCCAGCGUCCUACGGGAGGCAGCAGUGGGGAAUAUUGCACAAUGGGCGCAAGCCUGAUGCAGCGAUGCCGCGUGUAUGAAGAAGGCCUUCGGGUUGUAAAGUACUUUCAGCGGGGAGGCGUUACCCACAGAAGAAGCACCGGCUAACUCCGUGCCAGCCGCCGCGGUAAUUC
rnacentral:rRNA from 1 species